rnacentral:hammerhead_ribozyme from 1 species
GUUCAGCUGACGAGUCCCAAAUUGGACGAAAUGCACGUUAUCCUGGAU